rnacentral:misc_RNA from 1 species
AGCCUUUUACCAAACAUUUAUUUACAUACUACAAACCACAUGCCAACAAGUCCUUCAAAUUGAUUCAGUCAAACCAUCCACAACAUGCACUGAAUUCUACAUCCAGAAGAAAAAAAUGNNNNNNAAUGGAUUUACUCACAGCAAAGCAUAUCUGCUUUGCUCCAAUUUCAUCGAAUUGCUCCAAGCAAAUUGGCACCAUCAAGCUUUGUAUUUUCCAAAUGUGUGUUCUGAAGAUUGACUUGUCGUAGAUAAGCCCGUUGAAGAUUUGCACC